rnacentral:lncRNA from 1 species
GUCUAGUGACACUGGACGGCAAUAAAAUGGCCAUUACUGAACCUCUAGGGAGAAACAUUUAGAACUAAUAGACCUGUCCAGUAUAAAGUGGUCCAUUGUGUUUUUGCGUUUAGAAACUAGCUCUUGCCAUAGUUCGAAAAACUGGACCAAUCACACCGAAAGACCCAAAUAAUGUUAGAGUAAAGAAACCAUCGCCCAAACUUCAAGAUGUUAUCAAGAGCAAGUUAGAGUCAGACGACGAAUCGGGUUUGUGAAAAAAAUCAUAGUUUAUAUUGAACUAUCAUAGUGAUUAUUUAUGAUUUAAAGGCACAGUUCAGCCUUUUGAAAUUGUUAAAAACAUCG